CGGUCUGUUAAGUCAGAUGUGAAAUCCCCGGGCUUAACCUGGGAACUGCAUUUGAAACUGGCAGGCUUGAGUCUUGUAGAGGGGGGUAGAAUUCCAGGUGUAGCGGUGAAAUGCGUAGAGAUCUGGAGGAAUACCGGUGGCGAAGGCGGCCCCCUGGACAAAGACUGACGCUCAGGUGCGAAAGCGUGGGGAGCAAACAGGAUUAGAUACCCUGGUAGUCCACGCCGUAAACGAUGUCGACUUGGAGGU
rnacentral:rRNA from 1 species